UACGGAGGAGGCAAGCGUUAUCCGGAAUUAUUGGGCGUAAAGCGUCCGCAGGUGGCACUUCAAGUCUGUCGUCAAAGACUGGGGCUUAACCCUGGAAAGGCGGUGGAAACUGAAGCGCUAGAGUGCGGUAGGGGUAGAGGGAAUUCCCAGUGUAGCGGUGAAAUGCGUAGAGAUUGGGAAGAACACCCGUGGCGAAAGCGCUCUGCUGGACUGCAACUGACAUUGAGGGACGAAAGCUAGGGGAGCGAAUGGG
rnacentral:rRNA from 1 species